rnacentral:rRNA from 1 species
AGUGAACGCUGGCGGUAGGCCUAACACAUGCAAGUCGAACGGCAGCACAGUAAGAGCUUGCUCUUACGGGUGGCGAGUGGCGGACGGGUGAGGAAUACAUCGGAAUCUACUUUUUCGUGGGGGGUAACGUAGGGAAACUUACGCUAAUACCGCAUACGACCUACGGGUGAAAGCAGGGGAUCUUCGGACCUUGCGCGAUUGAAUGAGCCGAUGUCGGAUUAGCUAGUUGGCGGGGUAAAGGCCCACCCAGGCGACGAUCCGUAGCUGGUCUGAGAGGAGGAUCGGCCACACUGGAACUGAGACACGGUCCAGACUCCUACGGGAGGCAGCAGUGGGGAAUAUUGGGCAAUGGGCGCAAGCCUGAUCCAGCCAUACCGCGUGGGUGAAGAAGGCCUUCGGGUUGUAAAGCCCUUUUGUUGGGAAAGAAAAGCAGCAGGUUAAUACCCCGCUGUUCUGACGGUACCCAAAGAAUAAGCACCGGCUAACUUCGUG